AACGAACGCUGGCGGCAUGCCUAACACAUGCAAGUCGAACGAAGGCUUCGGCCUUAGUGGCGCACGGGUGCGUAACGCGUGGGAAUCUGCCCUUUGGUUCGGAAUAACAGCUGGAAACGGCUGCUAAUACCGGAUGAUGACGAAAGUCCAAAGAUUUAUCGCCAGAGGAUGAGCCCGCGUUGGAUUAGGUAGUUGGUGGGGUAAAGGCCUACCAAGCCGACGAUCCAUAGCUGGUCUGAGAGGAUGAUCAGCCACACUGGGACUGAGACACGGCCCAGACUCCUACGGGAGGCAGCAGUGGGGAAUAUUGGACAUUGGGCGCAAGCCUGAUCCAGCAAUGCCGCGUGAGUGAUGAAGGCCCUAGGGUUGUAAAGCUCUUUUACCCGGGAAGAUAAUGACUGUACCGGGAGAAUAAGCCCCGGCUAACUCCGUG
rnacentral:rRNA from 1 species